GACGAACGCUGGCGGCGUGCCUAAUACAUGCAAGUCGAGCGCAGGAAACUGACGGAACUCUUCGGAGGGAAGGCAGUGGAAGGAGCGGCGGACGGGUGAGUAACACGUAAGGAACCUGCCUCAAGGAUUGGGAUAACUCCGAGAAAUCGGAGCUAAUACCGGAUAGUUCAACGGACCGCAUGGUCCGCUGAUGAAAGGCGCUCCGGCGUCACCUUGAGAUGGCCUUGCGGUGCAUUAGCUAGUUGGUGGGGUAACGGCCCACCAAGGCGACGAUGCAUAGCCGACCUGAGAGGGUGAUCGGCCACACUGGGACUGAGACACGGCCCAGACUCCUACGGGAGGCAGCAGUAGGGAAUCUUCCACAAUGGACGAAAGUCUGAUGGAGCAACGCCGCGUGAGUGAUGAAGGUUUUCGGAUCGUAAAACUCUGUUGUAAGGGAAGAACACGUACGAGAGGAAAUGCUCGUACCUUGACGGUACCGUACGAGAAAGCCACGGCUAACUACGUGCCAGCCGCCGCCGUAA
rnacentral:rRNA from 1 species